AAGUCGUAACAAGGUUUCCGUAGGUGAACCUGCGGAAGGAUCAUUAAYGAAUUCAAAGUCGGCCUUGUUGUGCUGGUGGAAACACAUGUGCACRCUUGGUCGCAAAUCCACACACCUGUGCAUCUAUGACUCRAGGUUGUCGUCGUAUGACCAAGAGUAACUUUUACACACUCUUGAAUGUAAUGGAAUGUCUAUGUGCAUAAUGUACAAUGAAAACAACUUUCAACAACGGAUCUCUUGGCUCUCGCAUCGAUGAAGAACGCAGCGAAAUGCGAUAAGUAAUGUGAAUUGCAGAAUUCAGUGAAUCAUCGAAUCUUUGAACGCACCUUGCACCCUUUGGUAUUCCGAAGGGUACACCCGUUUGAGUGUCAUUGUAAUCUCACUUCGACGACUUUAUUGUUGUUUGAAUGUGGACUUGGACGUCUGCCRUGUAACAAYGGCUCGUCUUAAAUGCCUGAGUGUACCCCGCUUUGCGGCGUAUUCGGUGUGAUAAACAUUUCACCGGAGUUUGGUCUUUAKUGACCGCGCUUUUAGCAAUUGGUGGGCUCUAUGCUUUCKAACCGUCUGCCUCUGUGGACAAUCUCUUGACAAUUUGACCUCAAAUCGGGUGGGACUACCCGCUGAACUUAAGCAUAUCAAUAAGCGGAGGAAAAGAAACUAACAAGGAUUCCCCUAGUAACGGCGAGUGAAGAGGGAAAAGCUCAAAUUUUGAAUCUGGUGUCUUUGGCGCCCGAGUUGUAAUCUAGAGAAGUGUUUUCCGUGUCGGACCGUGUACAAGUUCCCUGGAACGGGGCGUCAUAGAGGGUGAGAAUCCCGUAUAUGCCACGGACUACCGAUGCUCUGUGAUACACUCUCAACGAGUCGAGUUGUUUGGGAAUGCAGCUCAAAAUGGGUGGUAAAUUCCAUCUAAAGCUAAAUAUUGGCGAGAGACCGAUAGCGAACAAGUACCGUGAGGGAAAGAUGAAAAGCACUUUGGAAAGAGAGUGAAACAGUACGUGAAAUUGUUGAAAGGGAAGCGUUUGAAGUCAGUCACGUUUGUUGGGAUUCAGCCUGGCUUCUGCCUGGUGUAUUUCCUUUCCAACGGGUCAGCAUCAGUUUCGACCGAGGGAAAAAGACAUUUGGAAUGUGGCUGUCUUCGGGCAGUGUUAUAGCCUUGUGUUGUAUGUCUCGGUUGGGACUGAGGAACGCAGCGCGCCAUUUUGGCCGGGGGUCGCUCCUCUCGACACGCGCUUAGGAUGCUGGGCAUAAUGGCUUUAAGCGRCC
rnacentral:rRNA from 1 species